AGGAUUCGAUACAAAGCUACGAGGUGGGACUAAUAGUCAAUUUAAAGACUGCUGAUGUGGGGAAGGACUGAUGCAUCGGCGGGGGCUUUUAUGCAAAAAUGCCAAUGACGUACGACAAGAAGCAGUAACUGCUUUAUUAGUAGGUAAAGAUAAAGAUUUGUUGUACUACCAUGAUUGAACAUAAAUAGAUUGAAAGUUUUUCCAAAAAAAAA